UUAACCUAUAAUUUUCUCUAUCCAGCAGGAAAGCAGGGUUAUUGGUAUCCUCUGCUCGGUUUCGUUUGGGGGUGGGGACACAAGGACAUAAACUAUGGCUGAGAUGUCCCUUUCUGAAAUUGUGUUCCCGCCUCCAAAAUAUCAAGAGUAUGUGUUUGGGUGUUGGACGAUCAAAGCUGUUAAAAGUCAUAUAAUGGGAUCUUCAUGUGAAGCUCCGACCAAGUGUGAUGAUUCAACUGAACAGCCUUGCAAUCUAUGUCGAUAUGAAAGAGAAUUAAGACUCCCUAGUCUUCCUGACAUGGUCUUUGCAAGUAACUUGCUCCAGAUAACUCACCGAUCAGGUGGCUCAAUUUCUUUCAACUGCCUUGAUGCUCUUAAAUGUGUAAAUGAUCGAGAAGACACCAUACAAGUUGCACAUGCAGAAGCCUGGAAGGAAGCAAGAGCAGACUGUGAAUAUGCCAAAAAAGUGGUGAAGCCAUACGACUGGACUUUCUCAACUAACUUCAGAGGGACGGUUGAUGGUUUAAAAGUUAGUGACUCCACAGAAAGAAUAGAUCUUCAGAAAUUAAAAAUACCAGAAGAGAUUGUGUUUUAUGACGAGGUUUUCUUAUAUGAAGAUGAACUAGAUGAUAACGGCAGUACCAGAUGUGUCGUGAAAGUGAGAGUGAUGCCAAGUGGUUUCUUCGCAGUUUUUCGCCACUACUUACGUGUAGAUCAUGUCAUCGUUCGUGUCAAUGACACAAGACUGUACAGCCCGUCCGGUGCUUCUUACAUAAUAAGAGAAACAUCGUCAAGAGAAGCUCCAAUCUCCAAGUUGAAUUGAUUUACAGUUGAGGACCUACUACAGUAUUUUCUACUGCAUUCAUACUUCAUUAGACAGUAAACUAUACUACACGUCGGAUGUAGAUCUGUGGACACUGAUGUUAAGAAUCUCGAACAAGAUACCUCCACCCAUUUACAAAAAUCCUGAUCAGGUGUGGCAACAUCUACCCCUAGUUAGUGAAACAGUGGAUAAAUUGUCACCAGAAGACUUGUGAACAUCUUCAGAUCACCAGAUUUCUUAUAACAAGUUUAAGAUACCAUUCCAUAGUAGAGGCUUUUUAACGUCACAAAGGGGUUGUAUUUUCAUUGGUUUUAAAAUUGGACAUAACUGAGUCCCAGUCUGUUUUAUUUUUGUCAGACUCCUUGCAUUAGCAAGAUUAUAGAAGCGUGUAAAAGUUAUAGGGACAUAAUGUUGCUCAGGACAUUUGGAGAACUAUAUAUAUAUAAGAAGUUUGAUUCAGAAAAGCAGGACAUGACAAACGUCUUCAAAGAGCAAGAGAAGUGGAACUUUAAAAUGAGGGAGGAUGCAUUUGUUAUGAAAUACUUUGUGUGACAAAUUUGAAUAUAAAAGCCUUUUGUAUGGCUUGUAUGGGCCAAGGGAAGAUGUAACAGAAUUAUAUGCACUGUGGAAUGAGUUGAGGGCAUAUGGUGUGAUAGACAGUUUAUCAAGAAAUGCUUGAAGCUUAAAUAAGAAUAUGUUGAGGGACAGUUGCUAAGAAGAGCUUGAAAGUCGAGGGACUUGUUUUAUGUAAAAAAUGAUCCCAAAGUUGUGCAUUAGUAUGAUAGAUGUUUAAAAGCUGUAAGAACGAUAUUGUUACAGAAAAAUGGAAGAUUUAGGCGCAAGUUUAGUGGAUAAGAGCCAGAUGUGAAUGAAAUUUGGAGUAGCUGAUAUUCAACGGUACUGUUAUUGCUGUUAGUUAAACAAGACCACCAAGCCACAUUUUCAGAAUACUUCACAUAGAGGUAAAUGGAAGGAUUUUACCUUGAUUGCAAGAUGAAAAUUUGAGCAAGUUGGAAACCUAGGUAAAGAAGACCAUAAAGGUCACUAAGACAAAUGUAGAAAGCCAUUAAAUUUAGAUUUGAAGAGAGGCUGCAAAGAGCAGGCACACUGAAAGCAGUACCUCUGAUAAGGUGGUUAUGGAUAGAGAGAUACUGCACUGACUGAGAAAAAAAAUUAGGCAUUUGAGAGAAAAUAUUUAAAGUACAUAUUAAAACAAAAGUAGAGAUACAAGUGAAGACAUACCAGAAAAUUAUUUUUAAAAAUGGAAAGUUUCACAUUUAAGAACCUAGGGUGAAAUGCCAAUGAUAAAAGUAGUGUGAAAGAAGAGAUGAGUCAAGGAAUUAGUGGCAGUGUUUAUGGAAUAAGGAAUAUGGAAAAUAUGAUGUGUAAUUAUCAUAAAGGUAUGGUAAAAUCUUUACUAUAUACCAUAAAGGUGUUGUAAAAUGGUUAACUGAAAAGAGGUAUCCCAGUGUUCUGGGAAUUGGUCAUAAGUCUCGAACUUUAGGAAGUCUUGAAUAAAAGUGGUGUUAGAAUGACAGCUUCUUUAGAAGUGGAGAUGAAGGUGAAUUGUGCUACAUAUGUAAACUAGUCUGUAAGCUGCUGAUAAAGCUUCUGUGUGGGGAUAUGAAAAGAAGAGAGGUUGUCAGAUUUUUGUUUUGGGAGUUUGGCCUUGCUUGCAUUUGCAGCAAUUCCUCCUCAUGGGAAAUGAUUUGUUAAUGAAAAGGCCUUUUUUAGUCUAUAGCUAUCCAUGAGGUGUAAAUAUUAGCCCCUUGCCAGUAACAGAAUUGAACAUCAUAAUUUGUUAACCUUUGAUCAAAAAAAUAAUGUGAUGAUAAAAUAGUGUAAAUCAGAAUUAAAAAAGAAAUUCAUGAUAUCUUGAUGUCUAUAUGUAUUCAAAAAUGUCAGACAACUGAAUAUUUGAUAUGUAUAACCUGAUAUGAAAUGUGUGUGUAUGUUCACGGAAGAUAAUAGUCCAUUACUUUACAAAAGCUGUUAUUGGUGACUAAAGUGAAGACCAAACCUGAAGCAAAACUUAGUAAGGGUGGUAGUUUCUGUGAGCAUUAUCAUUGCCAAUAGGGCAAUACAUCUCGAGCAACAAAGCCAUUUGUAAGUCUUCCCAAACUUUUACUCUUGUCCUAUUGCUAGAUAUUUCUGCUGAUGAAAAAUUUUGGAAGCAGAUGAUACUCCAGUAACACUUCCUCGAAUUUAGGUACCACUAAACAACUGAGGCUUUUAGCUCUGACAGUAUUCCUUGAUAUCAAAGUUGGAGACCUAAAAAAGGAAACCUUACUGUAAGUUUGCUUGGUCUCUUACUGGACCACUUUUAGACAGAUUUUGGAACCUGGAGACCUAAGGUCUACAGUCACCUGCCUAAAUAUAUAUAACGAAAUUGUUCACGUCAAGUGUGCAAGUUUCUGAUAUCAAACAAACAGAAGUCAUAUUUGCAUUUAAACCCAAAUAAAGUUGUCACUCAUACAACGUUCAUCUUAAACAGAUGCUGCAUUUGAAAAAUUAACAAAUUGAAUUGCUUGUAACCUUUGUGGACAUGGAUAUUCAACAAAAACUGUAUUUUGCUGUUAUUCUUUAGUAAUAAGCUCCACACCUUCUGGAUUGGUUGCUUAAUAUAUGUGACUGUAAGAGAAAUAUAAGAAUUUAAUUACUGUAGGUGAUACGUACAUAGUACACCUUGUCACUUCCUAAGUCACUCACAAAAACUAUCAUUCUCACUACGUUGGGUCAUUGGUUGUGUGCCUUCAUCACCGAUAAAAAUAUUUGAUCGUACCAUCUUUAGGGUACACAAAAUUUAUUGUUAAAAUUCUAUCUUAUUGGCCAUUUAUGAUCUGUCAUGUUUCCAUAAGGCAAGGGAAUUUUUUUUGCAAAAUAUUACUUAGUAUUUAAUUUUGAUUCUCUAAUAAAGUUUUUGUAAUUCUGAUUCUCUAACAAAGUUUUGUUGUGAGCAAGUACAAAAUCAUAAUCUGACUGUUAGCCGUUUCUUUUUUUUUUUAUAUAUAGCCAGCACAAUAAUUGCCUUGUGAAUUACAUUUGUUAUAACUUAAAUGGUCACCAGAUUUAUUACUGUGACAAGAAAGCAUAUAAUUUUAUUUCAUCCAUAUUAUAUUACUAUCAAACACAAACUACUCCUUAAAAUAAGUUACAUUUUGUAAGUGCACCAUUGUUAAUAUUAAUUACAGUAGAUUCCUUUUUGUGA